rnacentral:lncRNA from 1 species
AUUGCGUUGCGUUUCGUUUCGUUAUUGUUGUUCAUUGUCGAAAUUGUGUGCCGCUUGUAAUCCGUUGAUUUGGCUCUGGCCGCCUGCAGGAAACUCUGCGGGUGGGCUGCCUGACAUUUUGCAGUCGACUGGCUGCUGCCGUCAUCGAUGAAUGGUGGAUGACUGAGGUGUAAUCAUAAUUUCCCCCAGCUACUGUGGAGCACCUUUGGGCCCACAGUCAUACAAUAAAUCAGCAGAGAGAAAGCGAAGAACUAUUGACACAGCCAACGGGUUGGCCAUAAAUCAGCGAUGGGGGAAUCCUGGACAGCAGGUCCUAAACAAAUUGCAACACAGAUAUGUACGUAGCGUC